GAUGAACGCUGGCGGCGUGCCUAAUACAUGCAAGUCGAGCGGACGGACGAGAAGCUUGCUUCUCUGAUGUUAGCGGCGGACGGGUGAGUAACACGUGGAUAACCUACCUAUAAGACUGGGAUAACUUCGGGAAACCGUAGCUAAUACCGGAUAAUAUUUUGAACCGCAUGGUUCAAAAGUGAAAGACGGUCUUGCUGUCACUUAUAGCUGGCUCCGCGCUGCAUUAGCUAGUUGGUAAGGUAACGGCUUACCAAGGCAACGAUGCAUAGCCGACCUGAGAGGGUGGUAGCCCACACGGGAACUGAACCACGGUCCAGAGUCCUACGGGAGGCAGCAGUAGGGAAUCGUCCGCAAUGGGCGAAAGCCUUACGGAACAACUGCGCGUGAGUGAUGAAGGUCUUCGGAUCGUAAAACUCUGUUAUUAGGGAAGAACAUAUGUGUAAGUAACUGUGCACAUCUUGACGGUACCUAAUCAGAAAGCCACGGCUAACUACGUG
rnacentral:rRNA from 1 species